GUUUAUGUAGCUCAGUGGUAGACCAUGUGCUUAGCAUGCACCAGGCCCUGGGUUCAAUCCUCAACACCACA
rnacentral:tRNA from 1 species